ensembl:snRNA U5 U5 spliceosomal RNA
UAGCUCGGGUUUCUCUUCAUUCACGCACAAUUCUUUCGCCUUCUACUAAAGAUUACCAUGGAAGGGAAUGUUAAUGAGUUCUUCUUAUUUUUAAAGCCUCUGCUUUGGCAAAGCU